rnacentral:rRNA from 1 species
AUGCAGUCGAGCGAACAGAUAAGGAGCUUGCUCCUUUGACGUUAGCGGCGGACGGGUGAGUAACACGUGGAUAACCUACCUAUAAGACUGGGAUAACUUCGGGAAACCGGAGCUAAUACCGGAUAACAUAUUGAACCGCAUGGUUCAAUAGUGAAAGGCGGCUUUGCUGUCACUUAUAGAUGGAUCCGCGCCGUAUUAGCUAGUUGGUAAGGUAACGGCUUACCAAGGCAACGAUACGUAGCCGACCUGAGAGGGUGAUCGGCCACACUGGAACUGAGACACGGUCCAGACUCCUACGGGAGGCAGCAGUAGGGAAUCUUCCGCAAUGGGCGAAAGCCUGACGGAGCAACGCCGCGUGAGUGAUGAAGGUCUUCGGAUCGUAAAACUCUGUUAUCAGGGAAGAACAAAUGUGUAAGUAACUGUGCACAUCUUGACGGUACCUGAUCAGAAAGCCACGGCUAACUACGUGCCAGCAGCCGCGGUAAUACGUAGGUGGCAAGCGUUAUCCGGAAUUAUUGGGCGUAAAGCGCGCGUAGGCGGUUUUUUAAGUCUGAUGUGAAAGCCCACGGCUCAACCGUGGAGGGUCAUUGGAAACUGGAAAACUUGAGUGCAGAAGAGGAAAGUGGAAUUCCAUGUGUAGCGGUGAAAUGCGCAGAGAUAUGGAGGAACACCAGUGGCGAAGGCGACUUUCUGGUCUGUAACUGACGCUGAUGUGCGAAAGCGUGGGGAUCAAACAGGAUUAGAUACCCUGGUAGUCCACGCCGUAAACGAUGAGUGCUAAGUGUUAGGGGGUUUCCGCCCCUUAGUGCUGCAGCUAACGCAUUAAGCACUCCGCCUGGGGAGUACGACCGCAAGGUUGAAACUCAAAGGAAUUGACGGGGACCCGCACAAGCGGUGGAGCAUGUGGUUUAAUUCGAAGCAACGCGAAGAACCUUACCAAAUCUUGACAUCCUUUGACCGCUCUAGAGAUAGAGUCUUCCCCUUCGGGGGACAAAGUGACAGGUGGUGCAUGGUUGUCGUCAGCUCGUGUCGUGAGAUGUUGGGUUAAGUCCCGCAACGAGCGCAACCCUUAAGCUUAGUUGCCAUCAUUAAGUUGGGCACUCUAAGUUGACUGCCGGUGACAAACCGGAGGAAGG